rnacentral:rRNA from 1 species
AGCGAACGCUGGCGGCAGGCCUAACACAUGCAAGUCGAACGAACCUUUCGGGGUUAGUGGCGGACGGGUGAGUAACACGUGGGAACGUGCCUUUAGGUUCGGAAUAACUCAGGGAAACUUGUGCUAAUACCGAAUGGGCCCUUCGGGGGAAAGAUUUAUCGCCUUUAGAGCGGCCCGCGUCUGAUUAGCUAGUUGGUUGAGGUAAUGGCUCACCAAGGCGACGAUCAGUAGCUGGUCUGAGAGGAUGAUCAGCCACAUUGGGACUGAGACACGGCCCAAACUCCUACGGGAGGCAGCAGUGGGGAAUCUUGCGCAAUGGGCGAAAGCCUGACGCAGCCAUGCCGCGUGAAUGAUGAAGGUCUUAGGAUUGUAAAAUUCUUUCACCGGGGACGAUAAUGACGGUACCCGGAGAAGAAGCCCCGGCUAACUUCGUG